rnacentral:rRNA from 1 species
GUGGGGAAUAUUGGACAAUGGGCGAAAGCCUGAUCCAGCCAUGCCGCGUGCAGGAUGAAGGCCUUCGGGUUGUAAACUGCUUUUGUACGGAACGAAAAGACUCCUUCUAAUAAAGGGGGUCCAUGACGGUACCGUAAGAAUAAGCACCGGCUAACUACGUGCCAGCAGCCGCGGUAAUACGUAGGGUGCAAGCGUUAAUCGGAAUUACUGGGCGUAAAGCGUGCGCAGGCGGUUAUAUAAGACAGAUGUGAAAUCCCCGGGCUCAACCUGGGAACUGCAUUUGUGACUGUAUAGCUAGAGUACGGUAGAGGGGGAUGGAAUUCCGCGUGUAGCAGUGAAAUGCGUAGAUAUGCGGAGGAACACCGAUGGCGAAGGCAAUCCCCUGGACCUGUACUGACGCUCAUGCACGAAAGCGUGGGGAGCAAACAGGAUUAGAUACCCUGGUAGUCC